rnacentral:rRNA from 1 species
CCAAGGAGUCUAACAUGUGCGCGAGUCAUUGGGACACGCAAACCUAAAGGCGAAAUGAAAGUAAAGGUCAGCCUUGCGCUGACCGAGGGAGGAUGGGCCGCGUCACGAUGCGGCCCCGCACUCCCGGGGCGUCUCGUUCUCAUUGCGAGAAGAGGCGCACCCAGAGCGUACACGUUGGGACCCGAAAGAUGGUGAACUAUGCCUGGUCAGGACGAAGUCAGGGGAAACCCUGAUGGAGGUCCGUAGCGAUUCUGACGUGCAAAUCGAUCGUCGGAACUGGGUAUAGGGGCGAAAGACUAAUCGAACCAUCUAGUAGCUGGUUCCCUCCGAAGUUUCCCUCAGGAUAGCUGGCACUCGCGUACAAAACGUACACGAGUCUCAUCCGGUAAAGCGAAUGAUUAGAGGCCUUGGGGCCGAAACGACCUCAACCUAUUCUCAAACUUUAAAUGGGUGAGAUCUCUGGCUUGCUUGAACUAUGAAGCCACGAGAUUUCGGAUCAGAGUGCCAAGUGGGCCACUUUU